CGGAACGUAUCCCGUAGAGGGGGAUAGCUCGGCGAAAGCCGGAUUAAUACCGCAUAUGCUCUACGGAGGAAAGCAGGGGACCCUGAGGGCAACCGAGGGGCUUUGCGCUAUGGGAGCGGCCGAUGUCCGAUUAGCUUGUUGGUGAGUAAGGCUACCAAGGCGACGAUCGGUAGCUGGUCUGAGAGGAUGAUCAGCCACACUGGGACUGAGACACGGCCCAG
rnacentral:rRNA from 1 species